AUUGAACGCUGGCGGCAUGCUUUACACAUGCAAGUCGAACGGUAACAGGGAGCUUGCUCCGCUGACGAGUGGCGAACGGGUGAGUAAUAUAUCGGAACGUACCCAAGAGUGGGGGAUAACGUAGCGAAAGUUACGCUAAUACCGCAUACGUUCUACGGAUGAAAGCAGGGGAUCUUCGGACCUUGUGCUCCUGGAGCGGCCGAUAUCUGAUUAGCUAGUUGGUGAGGUAAAGGCUCACCAAGGCGACGAUCAGUAGCUGGUCUGAGAGGACGACCAGCCACACUGGAACUGAGACACGGUCCAGACUCCUACGGGAGGCAGCAGUGGGGAAUUUUGGACAAUGGGCGCAAGCCUGAUCCAGCAAUGCCGCGUGAGUGAAGAAGGCCUUCGGGUUGUAAAGCUCUUUUGGCAGGGAAGAAACGGGAGUGGCUAAUAUCCAUUCCUAAUGACGGUACCUGAAGAAUAAGCACCGGCUAACUACGUGCCAGCAGCCGCCGUAACAC
rnacentral:rRNA from 1 species